UAGACCUUUGUGGGAUGUACACUUUGUGAAUAUACUAUUUUUCUCUCAUUCUGUGUGGUGUCUGUUUAUUCUGUGGAUAGUUUCUUUUGCUGCCCAGAAGCUCUUUAAUUAGGUCCCACUUGCCAAUUUUUGUUUUUGUUGCCAUUGCUUCUGAGGACUUAGUCACAAAUUCUUUUCCAAGAUCAGGGUCCAGAAUGGUGUUUCCUAGGUUUUCUUCUAGGAUUCUUAUAGUUCAAGGUCUUACUUUAAAUCUUUAAUCCAUCUUGUGUUAACUUUUGUACAUGGUGAAUGGUAGAGGUCCAGCUUUAAAAUGUGUUAGACUGGGUAACUUAUAAACAACAAAUUUAUUGUUGACAGUUCUGGAGGCUGGAAAAUUCAAGAGCAAAGCACUGGCAGAUUUUGUUUCUGGUGAAGGCCUGCUUCCCAUUUCAUAAACGCCUGUUUUCUUGCUGUAAUCUCACAUGGUGGUAGGGGUGAGGGAGCUCUCUGGAGUCUCUUUUAUUUUAUUUAUAUAUAUAUAUUUUUUUUUUGAGACAGAGUCUGGCUCUGUCACACAGGCUGGAGUGCAGUGGUAUGAUGUUGGCUCAAUGCAAUCUCUGCCUCCCGGGUUCAAGCGAUUCUCCUGCCUCAGCCUCCUGAGUAGCUGGGAUUACGGGCGUGUGCCACCAUGCGCAGCUAAUUUUUGUGUUUUUAGUAGAAACGGGGUUUUGCCAUGUUGGCCAGGCUGGUGUCGAACUCCUGACUUCAGGUGAUCUGCCUGCCUUGGCCUCCCAAAGUGCUGGGAUUACAGGCGUGAGCCACCUCGCCCGGCCUGGAGUCUCUUUUAUAAGGGCACUAAUCCCAUUCAUGAAGGCUCCACCUUCAUGACCUAAUCACCCUCCAAAGUCCCCACCUCCAAACACCAUUUCCUUGGGUGCUAGGAUUUCAACAUAUAAAUUUUAGUUGGGAGGACACAAACAUUCAGACCAUGGCACAUAUAUUACUGUAUAAUGUAUACUAUGCUAUAUAUAUGUAUAUAUGGUAUAUAUUAUAUACAGUUAUAUAUAAUUCUUAAAUUAUUUCUCAUUUAAUCUUGCUCUUUCCUUGGUGGUGGUCCUUCGUUUGUCUUGUCUGUACUUUUCGACUUGCAAGGUUCUUUGAUUCCUCUCAAGCCUCCAGCUCCGAUGUCCAUCUUUAUCUGGAAGCUCUAGUGUGCCUGUGUACUCUAGAUAAUGGUUUAUGGUUAAGAGCCGCAAACUCUGCAGACAGAAUCCCUGGGUUCUAAUCCCAUGACUUACUCACUGUGUGAUCUUGGCAAAUUAGCCUUUCUGUGCGUCAGUUUCUUAUGUUAUAAAAUGAGGAUAUUAACAGCAUCUACUUGUCUCAGAGACUGUGGCUAUCCACCAAAAUCCAUUCUCCCUGUUUUUUAUAGUAAUAGAAUAAAACUAUUCUGUUAUUUUAUGACUACUCUAUUUCAUGUGGCUGGUCUUAUGUGUCCCACUGAAGAACAUUUCCAGCCUCCCUUGCAGGUAGUGUGACCGAGACUGAGUGCCUGCAGAUGAAAUGUGACUGUAGCUGGUGUGUGUCGGACCCAUGUCUGGGGCUUAUGAUAUCAGGUGGGUCUUGUCCACUGCCACUACUAGCCUUCUCAGUGGGUGAGGCCAAGAUAGGGUGGCAGCUGAGCUUGGGCCACAGAGACAAUGAUGAUGCCCUGGGGGUGGUGGAACAAUGGCUAGGACAGACCCUGAAUGUCUCCAGGGAGCAGAGCUGCCCUGCUAAGCUGGACCAUUGUCUCUAGAAUUGCUAGAUGAGAACGAAAUAAAUAAAUAACCUUAUUUAUUUAUUUGACCACAAAUAAAUAAAUAAUAAAGAAUAAAUGACCACAUUCUUUAAGCCAUUGUAUUUUGGAGUAUCUUUGUUAGUCUACAACACUUGCCUCUGUGAGUGCAGUCCAGGCCCUGAAGGCAGAUGGAGCCAUAUCCCAGGCUCCUGGUGGAGGAAGGUGCAGAGUUCGAGGAACCUUUGCACUCUUGUGCCUUCCCUCAGGCCCAAAGCUCCUGUAGACUCAGUCUCGUGACCCCAGAGGUGAACCAGGCCUGAUGUGCUGGUGUCAGGUGGAUGG
rnacentral:lncRNA from 1 species